AGGUUCCGCUGACAUGUGGUCCCGCUCCGUCAGUCCACUGAUUCGCCGUCGUCCUCCCCCGGUCGUCGAUUCGAACCGGGACGAAAUCCCCAAUCCCCUCCACGACUCCCUCCAGUCCCGCACGCAUCAAACACGCAAUCCCGCCGCCAAUUCUGUUGACGACCCCGCGCCGGCGUCGCUCCGCACCCACGCCACCGCUAGCGCCCGGCCGCCAUGUCCUCCUCCUCCGACUCCGAGUCCAGCAAGCCCGCGGACGCGCCCGCGCGCCCUCCGUCCCGCGACUUCCUCGCCCACCUCGAGGCCUACCUCGCCCGCCGCGACGGCGUCGACAAGCUCCUCAAGAUCUCCCGCUACUCCGCGCGCCUCGCGCUCGCCGCGGGGCCGCCGCUGCCGCCCGCCGCCGCCGCCCGCCUCAAGUCCUUCGAGUCCAGCGUCGGGCUCAGCCGCAAGGCCUUCCGCCUCGGCAAGUUCGUGCAGUCCCUCAACGCCCUCCGCGCCCACCCGCACCCGCCGCCGGCCCUCGCGAUCCUUGCCUGCGGCGGCGAGGGCGUCUACUACUUCCUUGAGCAGUUCGUCUGGCUCGCCAAGGCGGGGCUCUUGCCCGCGCACCUCCUCCCGCGCCUCCAGCGCCUCAGCGCCUGGGCCGAGCUGCUGGGCUACGUCGGCUCCAUCGCGAUUAAGCUGGAAGAGGUGGCGAGGAUCGAAUCGUCCGUCAAGAAGCGCCUCGCGGAGGGCAGCGGGGAGGAGAGCGAGGCCGUGAGGACGAUGCGGGGUAAGCUGCUGCUGAAGCGGAUGUCGGUGGUGCAGGACGUGGCGGACGCGGUCAUGGCGCUCGGAGACGUCACCGACGGGAAGGGUUUGCUCGGGAGUUCCACGCUGAUGGCAUCCGCAGGCCUGCUCUCUGCAUUGAUCAGCACGCACAAGAACUGGAAUUCUUGUUGAAUCCUGAAGGCAUAUACAAAUUAUAUUCAUUUAUAAUGCUCUACACGUUGGCCUAAUUCAAUCAACCUGGAAAGAAAGAUCUGCUUAUAUUGAUGAGACUGUAGGGGACUCAUUAUGGCUUUGUUCUUCUGACGAUUUAAACAUGCCUAUUACUCCAGCUACAUAAGUUUGGAAAUUUAAUAGUACUCUGUAUUUACUGAUUUGCCAUAUAACACAUGAAUUAUUUAUGUGCUGCUUAUAUAGAUGAGCUAUAGGAGGAUUAAUUUGCCUGUGCUGUUGUACCUAUUGAAAGAUGUCCAGGUGCACAUUUGACAGAUCAUGGCUGCAGUUAUAUGUCAUGGUCACAAGUUGGAUUAUAGUUGGGAUUGGGAUUAUGAGCUGCUGUAUCAGUUUUAACUAGAAAAGGAACUUAUUACUCGUCAUAAAUACCAUUUUUAAAUAUUAAAGGAACUUCUUUGUUCCUCUUAAGGCACAGUUAAUUGCUACAAAGGAUAUCUGGAGGUCUUUUUUUUUUGGAGAAAACUGCUUGCCUGGAUAAUGUGUUGACAAUGACAUGUGCUAUUCUAUGGCUAAAUAUGCCCAUUUUGUGGUAAUGAUAAUCAAACGGUUCCAUCUUUAGUUCCUUUUUCCUUGGUCCGUUACCACAAUCUUGGAGCCCCCAAACUAGGUGUUGACCUUUGAAGCUGAGGUAUCGGUCCCAACAAGUCGAUCUGAGCUUCACAUGCUCUGUUGAACUGUCAUAACUACUCAGUGAAGGCGCAUGAUAUCAUAAACAUGUCAUCUGCAACUCACAUGGCAGUGACAAGCCUAUCAUAGUAUCAUUGUUUUGUUUUUCAGUCCUGGAUCUGGUUGAGAGCGAGAAUUAUACUGAAACACAAGGCUAUGCUAUGCUUGCUAUCUGAAGUUCAGAAGUUGUGGUCGCGCACCCCAUCAGAACAUCAGUUUCUUUACGUUGGGUUAAAGCUCGGAGAACACAGGAAAAGCUGCUCGGGGCCCAGGCCCGUGCGUGCUGUCCAUUUCCGGCACGAGCGGCCGACUGGCCGACCCCCUGAAAAGAGUAAACCCGGGUGCCGUCAAUCAGCCGCGGGCCACCGUGAGGAGACGGCAAAUUCCCCUUUCCCUUCCCUCCACAUCAAACCUCCCUCGAGUCACGGACACGUAAGGCACACCACCAUGGCACGCCACUGGGCGUCCGGGCCGACUGGUUCGGCCGCGCGGCGACGCCCACGGCCGAACCCACCCACCACCCGGCGGCGCGCGCGCAUCGGAAUCGCCCGGUGGCCAAAAGCAAAAAAAUAUGCGAGAAACGGCUGGGAAUACCGCGGCGCGGCGGGCGGCGAGUCCAACUCCAAACGGUCCAACCCAACGGCCAGCGACCCCCACCC